UUUAGGGUGAACCUCCACUUUAAACACACAGCACAAGAUCACACUGUUUCUCAGGGCUGCAGUUCUUCUAAUCUCCACAAGGUGGCGAUUUCACCUUUUACCCAGACAGGAAAUCUCUAUGAAAGACAGGAAGUGAUGUCAGCUAUGGACAGGAAGUGAUGUCAGCUAAAGGCAGGAAAUGAUGUUAGCUAUAAAUAGCAAGGUCCGUAUGAGAGGUGAGUCGGGAGGAAGAAAGAGGACAUUUGCUGGAAGUGGUAGCAGAGGAGAUUCAAAAAAAAGAAAAGCUGUACCUGGCUGGCCGAGUCCGAGGGAGAAAUUGUUAUCCUUCUACAAGGAGACCUGUAUAGAUCA